AAGGAGAAUCUCCUUGGUUUCAGAGUUGCAAAACAUACAGUAUCAUGCCUUUUGCUAUCUCAUGUCUUCCUAAUGAACUGAGAUGCUGUACAGACACAGGAAAAGCAUGGCGGAGUUUAUAGAAGAUGUGACACUGGGAAAUCCUUUGUGUGGAUAUUGGAGCAGUGCAAUAGUAGGGCUUUACCUGCAAGGUGCUAGAAGCCCACCAUUCUUAUUGACAUCAGGGCAGUGAGGCUGCAGCCAAUGGGAGAACAAGAUCAGGCUUGGAUACAAGUAGCAGAAUGCAGGAGAUGGGUGUAUCAAAACACUGAAGGCCCUUUACUGCAGCAAGAAAUGCAGCACAUGGAAGGACUUGGUACUGACUAAAGGCUGCUCACAGGAGGCCCUCAGGACCUCAGUUUUAGCAAACUGAGAGCUGAAGGAUAGAUCUUCAAGAAAUGUAAUGAAUUCCAGGGGGAAUGGACCAGAACCACAACUCUGAGUAUACAUUUCAAGCCAAAUUGAAUUGAUUCAAACAAUUCCCUAAGACCAAUGAAGAGGAAGGAAACAUAGCUGUCAAGCCCCUCUGAAACUAAUGCCAUCAGGCUAUGAAGAUGUACAGUUAACUGAAUUCCAGGUAAACUAAGAUUCUUGUCGCUGGCAAAAGGG